rnacentral:lncRNA from 10 species
UGGAUACUGCCUUGCUUGUGGAAAUUAAAGCCUCAAGUUUGCUCAGCUGUUGUCUCAGGGGAAGCAGAUCCCCUCAACCCACCCCAGAUGAGGACUGACUGGUCCAAUGUGAAGCGAAUUCCUCUCAUUUGUGUUUGGUUCAGAGAUGGACAUGUGACCUAUUUGUAACCAAUAAUUCAUGAGAGAAGUCUGCUACAAGGUGUCUUCUGGAAAAGAUUUUGCUGCACGAAGAGAAUGUUUCUGUCUUUUUCAGGAUACAUUUAUAGCUAGAUAUAAUGCCUGGAACUGCUUCACACACAGAAUAUAAAACUAAAUUGAGAAUGACACUGCAAGAGAAUGAAAAGAAUCUGUAUCUUUGAUGGCCUCAUGAAGUCACUUAAACAACUUAAUCUGAAACUUGCCUACCUUGGGGCUUCGUGUUAUAAGAGUAUACAUAUUCUUUAAGCCACUUUGAGUCAGAUCUUCUGUUACUUAUGGCAAAACCAUCCUAUUUAAUGCAGGAGAGGAGCUUACAUUAUUGGUUGACAUAUCAAAGAACUUGCUUUACUGGUAGACAUGUAUAUAUUUUUAAAGCUGGCAUGCCUCAUUCAUCUUUGCUCAUAGGGCUGGAGCCAUCUCCUCCAUAAGAGUGAAACACAGCUGCAACAAACUGUAUUAUUUGCCUGAAACCCUGGGCAUGUAUAAGAUCACAAGACAUAGAAUUGAGUUAGAAAAGAAUCUCUAUUCCCAAGAAAACAGUAUUCUUCUAGGGAAAGGAAACUGUUCAGUGUCUCACAAAUAAAUUGCAAUGAAGUUUGCCAAUGGAAAUGGAAUGGACAACUUGAACUUGAGGGAAAAUGAACAAGAUGAAGAGCAAAGGAAACCUUGCCCUGGAAAUACACAGGGGAUGCAAGCAUGUCUUGAGAGUUCUCUCCAGAAGAAUAUUCAAUGAAAAGUUCAAGUUACUUAGAAAUUUAAACUUUGUUCCUGUAAUUGGAAAAUCAUUCUGAGUUUUUUUAUUUUUUAUAUAUAUUUUUAAGAUUCUUACAGUUUGACUAUACACUCUGGUAGGUAAAGGCUGAAGGAGUAAAGUGGCAUCGAGAAAGGGCAUCUUUUCUACCUUAGAUCCCUACAGAUACUAGACUUUGUCGCACCAGAAGAAUUAAGAAAUAAAAAAGUUUAGAAAAACUUUUAAGAGUGACAUAUACAAAAAAAAAAAAGAUUAAAAGGAUCAGCAAACUUCUUGUCUAAAUAAUAAUAAAAAAAAUAAUUUAGAACACACAGUAAUACUUAGAUUUAGAAUCAUGACAAACUGCUAAUCUCAGUGUUCACUUAAGUUUUAAUUCUGGUUUUGAACUGGAGAGAAAUGAAUACAAGAAAAAGCAAUAUGUGGUAUUCGGUGUAAGUUUUUUGCUUCGUUUUCCCCCACUCCCUGAUCUUGAUGUUAAACUAUAAAAUUCAGUACUUCUUUCAAGUGGAUAUUCUUCUUCUUAAAGGAGCUAUGCUAUCUUAGAGAGUGUCAUAUAAUGUGUACACUGAGUCAGUUAGUUUUUAAAAUUGGAGGAUGUUGGGUAGUAAGACAUAUGUUCCUGUAGCAGAAUAAAGAGCAUAAAAGGAAAUUCUACAUCACAGAGACUCAAAAUAGAUUUUUAGAAAAAAUAGUCUGAAGAGAAGAUUGGAAGUCUCUUGUCUCUUCAAAAUGAAAGAUAACUCUUCAAAGUGAAAGAUAACUCUAGUAGUAAGUGGAAAACAAUGAAAAGUGACAUCACAGGACCUAUAAAACAACAAAAGAAGAUAAUAUAAUAAAAAGGAUAUGUAGGUAAAAGUAAAAAUUAGGGUUUAAAGGAGAGAGAAAUAAC